AUUGAACGCUGGCGGCAGGCCUAACACAUGCAAGUCGAACGAGUGGCGGACGGGUGAGUAAUGUCUGGGAAACUGCCUGAUGGAGGGGGAUAACUACUGGAAACGGUAGCUAAUACCGCAUACUAUCGGAUGUGCCCAGAUGGGAUUAGCUUGUUGGUGGGGUAAGGGCUCACCAAGGCGACGAUCCCUAGCUGGUCUGAGAGGAUGACCAGCCAAACUGGAACUGAGACACGGAACAGACCCCUACGGGAGGCAGCAGUGGGGAAUAUUGCACAAUGGGCGCAAGCCUGAUGAAGCCAUGCCGCGUGUAUGAAGAAGGCCUUCGGGUUGUAAAGUACUUUCAGCGGGGAGGCGUUACCCGAAGAAGAAGCACCGGCUAACUCCGUGCCAGCAGCCGCGGUAAUAC
rnacentral:rRNA from 1 species